GGAGAGAUGGCUGAGCUGGUCUAAGGCGCACGACUGGAAAUCGUGUUUACUAGGAAUAGUAACCAGGGUUCGAAUCCCUGUCUCUCCGCCA
rnacentral:tRNA from 2 species